rnacentral:rRNA from 1 species
CAACAGGGAUUGCUCUAGUAACGGCGAGUGAAGCAGCAAUAGCUCAAAUUUGAAAUCUGGCGUCUUCGACGUCCGAGUUGUAAUUUGUAGAGGAUGCUUCUGAGUAACCACCGACCUAAGUUCCUUGGAACAGGACGUCAUAGAGGGUGAGAAUCCCGUAUGCGGUCGGAAAGGUGCUCUAUACGUAGCUCCUUCGACGAGUCGAGUUGUUUGGGAAUGCAGCUCUAAAUGGGAGGUAAAUUUCUUCUAAAGCUAAAUAUUGGCCAGAGACCGAUAGCGCACAAGUAGAGUGAUCGAAAGAUGAAAAGCACUUUGGAAAGAGAGUUAAAAAGCACGUGAAAUUGUUAAAAGGGAAGGGAUUGCAACCAGACUUGCUCGCGGUGUUCCGCCGGUCUUCUGACCGGUCUACUCGCCGCGUUGCAGGCCAGCAUCGUCUGGUGCCGCUGGAUAAGACUUGAGGAAUGUAGCUCCCUCGGGAGUGUUAUAGCCUCUUGUGAUGCAGCGAGCGCCGGGCGAGGUCCGCGCUUCGGCUAGGAUGCUGGCGUAAUGGUCGUAAUCCGCCCGUCUUGAAACACGGACCAAGGAGUCUAACAUCUAUGCGAGUGUUCGGGUGUCAAACCCCUACGCGUAAUGAAAGUGAACGGAGGUGAGAACCGCAAGGUGCAUCAUCGACCGAUCCUGAUGUCUUCGGAUGGAUUUGAGUAAGAGCAUAGCUGUUGGGACCCGAAAGAUGGUGAACUAUGCCUGAAUAGGGUGAAGCCAGAGGAAACUCUGGUGGAGGCUCGCAGCGGUUCUGACGUGCAAAUCGAUCGUCAAAUUUGGGUAUAGGGGCGAAAGACUA